rnacentral:sRNA from 1 species
AUGGGACGCCCUGGUCCCGCGGCGGGGAGCGCCCGAUAAACUGUCCGCGGAACGUCACGGGGCGCAGCCCCUGCCGGUCCGCAAAUGAUCAGCCAGCAGCCGCUGCAACCCCAGGGAG